rnacentral:rRNA from 1 species
UGGGGAAUUUUGGACAAUGGGGGGAAACCCUGAUCCAGCCAUCCCGCGUGUGCGAUGAAGGCCUUCGGGUUGUAAAGCACUUUUGGCAGGAAAGAAACGUCGCGGGUUAAUACCCCGCGAAACUGACGGUACCUGCAGAAUAAGCACCGGCUAACUACGUGCCAGCAGCCGCGGUAAUACGUAGGGUGCAAGCGUUAAUCGGAAUUACUGGGCGUAAAGCGUGCGCAGGCGGUUCGGAAAGAAAGAUGUGAAAUCCCAGAGCUUAACUUUGGAACUGCAUUUUUAACUACCGGGCUAGAGUGUGUCAGAGGGAGGUGGAAUUCCGCGUGUAGCAGUGAAAUGCGUAGAUAUGCGGAGGAACACCGAUGGCGAAGGCAGCCUCCUGGGAUAACACUGACGCUCAUGCACGAAAGCGUGGGGGAGCAAACAGGAUUAGAUACCCUGGGUAGUCCACGCCAUAAA